rnacentral:rRNA from 1 species
GAUGAACGCCGGCGGCGUGCCUAAUACAUGCAAGUCGAGCGAACGGACGAGAAGCUUGCUUCUCUGAUGUUAGCGGCGGACGGGUGAGUAACACGUGGAUAACCUACCUAUAAGACUGGGAUAACUUCGGGAAACCGGAGCUAAUACCGGAUAAUAUUUUGAACCGCAUGGUUCAAAAGUGAAAGACGGUCUUGCUGUCACUUAUAGAUGGAUCCGCGCUGCAUUAGCUAGUUGGUAAGGUAACGGCUUACCAAGGCAACGAUGCAUAGCCGACCUGAGAGGGUGAUCGGCCACACUGGAACUGAGACACGGUCCAGACUCCUACGGGAGGCAGCAGUAGGGAAUCUUCCGCAAUGGGCGAAAGCCUGACGGAGCAAUGCCGCGUGAGUGAUGAAGGUCUUCGGAUCGUAAAACUCUGUUAUUAGGGAAGAACAUAUGUGUAAGUAACUGUGCACAUCUUGACGGUACCUAAUCAGAAAGCCACGGCUAACUACGUG